CUUCAGGGCGGGGUGUAAUUCCCCACCGGCUGUAUGCAUUUUUUACAUUGCGAGCCAGCGAGUAUCUCUAUUGAUACAUGAUACGGUGAGACUCCGUAGCCGACGGUAUAGUCCGGAUGAAAGAAGU
rnacentral:ncRNA from 1 species